rnacentral:lncRNA from 1 species
CAUACCUAAUUGCAAAAUCAUAAGACCAAAAUACACCAAUCAUUUAAGAGAAUCGUUCCACUAUGGUAGCAAAAAGGGAAAAAACCCAUCAUAGCCGACAUUAGUUCUCUUUUCCUACAACCAAAAAUAACCACAUCCCAACCAGAAAUCCACAGUUAAAACUUAAAAGGGUGAAUCAUGAAUAUACGAGAUCAGUGAAACAAAAAGUUACAACUAAAACCCCUUUGUCUAACAUUUCUUGGGCCUUCCUCUUCCUCUUUUGGCCGGUGUUGGUGUUGGUGUUGGUGUUGCUCCUCCCUUUGUGGCGGCAGAUGGGCCCUUCUGCUUCUUCCUUCCACCUUUUUCAUCACCGUUUUCCUCUUCGACUUCUGACUCAGGUGGCUCCUCAGAUUUCGUCUUCCUCUUGUUGGAUUUUUGAGGUGUUGCUCCUCCCUUUGUGGUGGCCGAUGGGCGGCCUCCACCACGGCCUUUGCCGGAAGUCUUGCCACCCUUCUGCUUCUUCUUUCCACCAUUUCCAUUUGCUUUUUCAUCACUACCGUCUUCACUUUCAUUACCAUUUUCCUCUUCAACUUCUGACUCAGGUGGCUCCUCAGAUUUUGUCUUCUUCUUUGAUUUUUCAGAUGUUUUUGCAGCACUCGCCUUUUUAGGU